rnacentral:snoRNA from 1 species
AGAUGGCAGUAAUACAACGUUAAGGAUGCAAGCUGCCGUUAAAACCCAAAGAAGAACAACAAGUUUUGUCCUGUUUCCGCAGCGGUGAUGGUUUGUUGUGUACCGUUACCAAUCUAAAAAACAGGCAGAGUAAAGCAGCGGCAGUCAGGUAUUGUCUGGCAGGAGAAGCGCGCCUUUCAGACACUUUGAAUUGCUACAAUU